rnacentral:lncRNA from 1 species
AGAAAAACUAGCUUUGGAGCCAGCCCCGGCUGGAAAAAAUGAAGCUAAAUGAAACUCUCUCCACAAUAUUGGGCUAAAACCUUUUGAUGUUUCUUGCUGAGCCUACCUGGCUAAUGCCAUCAGUGAAAGACAAAUCAGAACAGAUGAAGAAUGUGACUUUCAGGGGAUGAAUGAUCACUGUGAAAAGAACAUGAGAUGCCCUUUGCAGGGACAUGGAUGGAGCUGGAAGCCAUUAUCUUCAGCAAACUAACACAGGAACAGAAAACCAAAUACUGCAUGUUCUCACUUAUAAGUGGGAGCUGAACCAUGAGAACAUGGACACAGGGAGGGGAACAACGCACACUGGGGCCUGUGGAGGGCAGGCGGGGGGAGGGAGAGCAUCAGGAUAAAUAGCUAAUGCAUGCUGGGCUUAAUACCUAGGUGAUGGAUUGAUAGGUGCAGCAAACCACCAUGGCACACAUUUACCUAUGGAGCAAACCUGCACCUCCUGCACAUUUACCCCAGAACUUAAAAUAAAAUAAAA